UUGUUGUACACACACAAGUGACACCUCAACAGCAAAACAACGAAGGUCCCAAUUAAGCCAAACUAGCAAAUGUUCCUUUUUUUUUUAAAUCUGCGACAGAAAAUUAGAGCUGUUCUGUCUGGCGUGACCAUAGCGGUACAUGAUUGGAGAAAGGAAAUGACAAUCAAUGAAACAACCAAUCAGAACUACAGAAAAGCAGCACAACAGUCCCGCCUUCUUGUAAAGUAGCCGUUUACGACUGACCGUUUGUCCGGACCGGUCCGGUCCUUUGAAGGUGCUUCACUCCACCCGGUUAACUGAAAUGGAGUUUAAAGGGCUUCUGUCUAAUAUCAGGAAGAGAAAGAGAGAAAAAACAACAACAGAAACUGGCAGAGUAGGAACCUCCCAGCAGAGGUCAUCUCCUCCUACUACUCCCCUGGUAGUAAUGGCAGAAAUCCUAGUAGUGUCUGUUAAGGGAUCUCACGCUCCUCUACAGUUUGAGUAAAUUCUUAAAAACUUUCACAACUUCAAAACUAUAUUGACGUAGAGUGAGAAAAGUACUAAGUUACCACAUACCUCUGCAGCAGUAGCACAAAAGGUCAUAAAAUGACCCUGCAGACAAAAUUCAUAGAAAACGUACCAACCUAUGGCUUUAAUCACUCUGGUUUAUCCAUUUAAAACUUUUUUGAAAACACAUUAAGAAUUAUGUAUAAUGUAUAUCUUUUUAAGAUUUAAACUAUUAAUUUGACAUGUUUCUGAGGACAUUUCUACAUGUUUUAUAUUGAUUUUAUUACAUAGCUUUGGAUUUACUAUAACCCUGGAUUCAAGUAACAAUUGCUGGAUUAUUGAAUGUUUUAUAUUUACCAAAUUUUACACAUUUUUUGCUCAUCUUUGUCUUUCUCU